UACGGGGGGAGCAAGCGUUGUUCGGAUUUACUGGGCGUAAAGGGCGCGUAGGCGGCGUAACAAGUCACUUGUGAAAUCUCCGGGCUUAACCCGGAGCGGCCAAGUGAUACUGUUGUGCUAGAGUGCGGAAGGGGCUACUGGAAUUCUCGGUGUAGCGGUGAAAUGCGUAGAUAUCUGGAGGAAUACCGGUGGCGAAGGCGGCAUCCUGGACCGACAUUGACGCUGAGGAGCGAAAGCUAGGGGAGCAAACGGG
rnacentral:rRNA from 1 species